UCCUUGCCAUAAGGAUGUGUCUUGAUGGUGAAGAAAGAGUGGAAGAGUGAGACAGAUGGCCGAACAUUGGCUAUAAUAUAGAUAACUAAAAAAUCCACAAUGAAUUUGAAAGAAUUUGGGACCACUGCACAAAGGGAAAGGUCGUAAAAGUGGAAUAUGUCAAAGACGAGAAGAGGAACGAAAAAUCUCAAGCCCAAUCGGAGUGCUUCUUCAUACACCCCAAGCUGAUCAGGAGGCAGACUGUUACUCGAUCACCGGUCCCGAGGAGUUCUAAAUCGAAUUCUGAAGGAACUCUGAACCAAAUCCAUAUCCGAUUCAAGUCAUCUUGAUUUAAUACGGAGCCAAGAGCGCCGGGCCCAACCUCACCCGAGCCAUCUCCAGAUGAAAGGGUUAAAAGGUAGUCUAGAAGAAGGAAGAAAGAAGAGAAAAAUAGAUGGACAAAGAAGGAACACUAAGGAAACCCACCUUAGAAUGAAGG
rnacentral:lncRNA from 1 species